rnacentral:rRNA from 1 species
GACGAACGCUGGCGGCGGGCUUAACACAUGCAAGUCGAACGGAAAGGCCCUGCGUUUGUGGGGUGCUCGAGUGGCGAACGGGGGAGUAACACGUGAGUAACCUGCCCUUGACUUUGGGAUAACUUCAGGAAACUGGGGCUAAUACCGGAUAGGAGCUCCCGUUGCAUGGUGGGGGUUGGAAAGUUUCGGCGGUUGGGGAUGGACUCGCGGCUUAUCAGCUUGUUGGUGGGGUAGUGGCUUACCAAGGCUUGGACGGGUAGCCGGCCUGGGAGGGUGGCCGGCCACCUUGGGACUGCGAUACGGCCCAGACUCCUACGGGAGGCAGCAGUGGGGAAUAUUGCACAGUGGGCGGAAGCCUGAUGCAGCAGCGCCGCGUGCGGGAUGACGGCCUUUGGGUUGUAAACCGCUUUCGCCUGUGACGAAGCGUGAGUGACGGUAAUGGGUAAAGAAGCACCGGCUAACUACGUG